CUGAAAUCUGUGAUAUACUAACACUUCUUGCAAGGAUAUUGAGUGGAAUGCAACUUCUUUUGAUGAAGAAGAAUAUUAUGUAAUUAGUAUUGGAUUCUAGUGUCAUAGUCGAUUUUCUUCUCAUCUUUGCCAUCUUUUUGUAUCCACUUGUAUGGACCAUUGAGUUGUUUCUUGUGUGCCCUUUGAAAUGAUGAAGCAAGAAUGUGCAUUAUUUUUGUUGCCACAACAUAUUACGGCACUAGUUGUUUCAUUGUUGCCAUUACAUAUUACGGCACUACUUGUUUCAUUGUUGCCAUAACAUAUUAUAUUUCAACCAGGAAAUGAUACUUGCCAGCCAUGAUAUCUCAGUGGGCAAUGACACAAAAGCGAAGUGUUUCUUGUAUGAUAUUGUUGCAAAUGGUCGAACUAGAAUAGAUGUUGACAAGUUUGACUAUAUUGAACGAGAUUGCCGAGCUUGUGGCCUUGGUUGCAAUUUUGAAUUUCAGAGGUUAAUGGAAUACAUGCGGGUGAUAGAUGAUGAAAUAUGCUCUCAUGCCAAGUAGUAUCUUACAGUCCACAAACUGUUUACCACCCAUGCUGAUCUCUAUCGAACAGUAUAUAUGCAUGCAAAAGUUAAGGCAAUGGAGCUCAUGUUUGUAGAUGCAGUUCUAAAAGCAAACAGUUUUCUGAAAAGAAGAGUUUUAGAGAUUGAGGUUGAAGGAAUUCAUACUCCUACCUCUUCAACACAAGUAAUAUGCAUG